GAAAUGCGAUAAUUAAUGUGAAUUGCAGAAUUCAGUGAAUCAUCGAGUCUUUGAACGCACAUUGCCCCCCCUGGUAUUCCGGGGGGCAUGCCUGUCCGAGCGUCAUUGCUGCCCUCAAGCACGGCUUGUGUGUUGGGCUUCCGUCCCUGGCAACGGGGACGGGCCCAAAAGGCAGUGGCGGCACCAUGUCUGGUCCUCGAGCGUAUGGGGCUUUGUCACCCGCUCCCGUAGGUCCAGCUGGCAGCUAGCCUCGCAACCAAUCUUUUUAACCAGGUUGACCUCGGAUCAGGUAGGGAUACCCGCUGAACUUAAGC
rnacentral:misc_RNA from 1 species